AUGAACGCUAGCUACAGGCUUAACACAUGCAAGUCGAGGGGCAGCAUGGUCUUAGCUUGCUAAGGCCGAUGGCGACCGGCGCACGGGUGAGUAACACGUAUCCAACCUGCCGUCUACUCUUGGACAGCCUUCUGAAAGGAAGAUUAAUACAAGAUGGCAUCAUGAGUCCGCAUGUUCACAUGAUUAAAGGUAUUCCGGUAGACGAUGGGGAUGCGUUCCAUUAGAUAGUAGGCGGGGUAACGGCCCACCUAGUCUUCGAUGGAUAGGGGUUCUGAGAGGAAGGUCCCCCACAUUGGAACUGAGACACGGUCCAAACUCCUACGGGAGGCAGCAGUGAGGAAUAUUGGUCAAUGGGCGAGAGCCUGAACCAGCCAAGUAGCGUGAAGGAUGACUGCCCUAUGGGUUGUAAACUUCUUUUAUAAAGGAAUAAAGUCGGGUAUGCAUACCCGUUUGCAUGUACUUUAUGAAUAAGGAUCGGCUAACUCCGUGCCAGCAGCCGCGGUAAUACGGAGGAUCCGAGCGUUAUCCGGAUUUAUUGGGUUUAAAGGGAGCGUAGAUGGAUGUUUAAGUCAGUUGUGAAAGUUUGCGGCUCAACCGUAAAAUUGCAGUUGAUACUGGAUAUCUUGAGUGCAGUUGAGGCAGGCGGAAUUCGUGGUGUAGCGGUGAAAUGCUUAGAUAUCACGAAGAACUCCGAUUGCGAAGGCAGCCUGCUAAGCUGCAACUGACAUUGAGGCUCGAAAGUGUGGGUAUCAAACAGGAUUAGAUACCCUAGUAGUCCACACGGUAAACGAUGAAUACUCGCUGUUUGCGAUAUACGGCAAGCGGCCAAGCGAAAGCGUUAAGUAUUCCACCUGGGGAGUACGCCGGCAACGGUGAAACUCAAAGGAAUUGACGGGGGCCCGCACAAGCGGAGGAACAUGUGGUUUAAUUCGAUGAUACGCGAGGAACCUUACCCGGGCUUAAAUUGCAGAUGAAUUACGGUGAAAGCCGUAAGCCGCAAGGCAUCUGUGAAGGUGCUGCAUGGUUGUCGUCAGCUCGUGCCGUGAGGUGUCGGCUUAAGUGCCAUAACGAGCGCAACCCUUGUUGUCAGUUACUAACAGGUUCUGCUGAGGACUCUGACAAGACUGCCAUCGUAAGAUGUGAGGAAGGUGGGGAUGACGUCAAAUCAGCACGGCCCUUACGUCCGGGGCUACACACGUGUUACAAUGGGGGGUACAGAGGGCCGCUACCACGCGAGUGGAUGCCAAUCCCAAAAACCUCUCUCAGUUCGGACUGGAGUCUGCAACCCGACUCCACGAAGCUGGAUUCGCUAGUAAUCGCGCAUCAGCCACGGCGCGGUGAAUACGUUCCCGGGCCUUGUACACACCGCCCGUCAAGCCAUGGGAGCCGGGGGUACCUGAAGUGCGUAACCGCGAGGAGCGCCCUAGGGUAAAACUGGUGACUGGGGCU
rnacentral:rRNA from 1 species